GUCGCUGAAACAGAAGCGACCCGGGUUGGAAGCCGGAAAUUGCAACAGGCGGACAACCGCCUGAGCGCGGUUUUUUU
rnacentral:sRNA from 1 species